UUGGAAAGUUUCGGCGGUUGGGGAUGGACUCGCGGCUUAUCAGCUUGUUGGUGGGGUAGUGGCUCACCAAGGCUUUGACGGGUAGCCGGCCUGAGAGGGUGACCGGCCACAUUGGGACUGAGAUACGGCCCAGACUCCUACGGGAGGCAGCAGUGGGGAAUAUUGCACAAUGGGCGGAAGCCUGAUGCAGCAACGCCGCGUGCGGGAUGACGGCCUUCGGGUUGUAAACCGCUUUCGCCUGUGACGAAGCGUGAGUGACGGUAAUGGGUAAAGAAGCACCGGCUAACUACGUG
rnacentral:rRNA from 1 species